rnacentral:pre_miRNA from 1 species
UAAGUACUCCCUCCGUCCGAAAAUACUUGUCAUCAAAAUGGAUAAAAAAAGAUUUAUCUAGAACUAAUAUACAUCUAGAUACAUCCUCUUUUAUUCAUUUUGAUGAGAAGUAUUUCCGGACGGAGGAAGUAUGUU